UGAUAGCAAGAGCAGAUGCCCGCCACAAA
rnacentral:piRNA from 1 species